GAGCUAAUUCCCGAAGUCACCAGCAGGAGGCGCCAGGUGAACACAUGAAACACUGACCAAAGGACAGAUCCUUGGGACCCACUAUUUUGCACCCAGCUCAACUAAGUCCAUGUAUCAGCCAGAAAACAAGGACAUUGGGCCUUAUUCUCAUUUACAAUAUGUUUAUGUGGUAUUUACACAGCAACACAAGGCUCAUGCUUGUAUAAUCACCACUUAUUUGAACCAGCCACAUGGAAAAUAAAUGGAUUAACUAAACUGGUAACAAGA